GCAGGGGCUCCCGCCGGCCCGGCAGCAGCGCCGCGGCCGCGCGAGGCGUUUGGUGUCGGCUGCGGGCCGUCCUGUCAGGGCCCUCUGACGUGCUGCGUGUGCACAGGUGGCUGCGCGGUGCCCGUCAGUGAGCCGCCCGUGGCGGGGUCUGUGUUCGGGGACGGGUGUGUUUGUGGCUGCAGUUGCCGCAGUUCGUCCCGGCCCUCCAGACCUCCCCAGCCCCACUCUCGGCCUCGUGGUCCUGGCAUGCCCGCUGCUUCUGCCCCUCGGAUGCUUCCUCUGGGCUCCGUCCCCAACACGUCCACGUCACGCCUGCUGCCUUAGUCCUGCAGAAAUCCUGCGCUUUGGAUUUGUGCCACCUUCUGUAAGUUGAAAGCUUCUGGACCAAGUGCGGCAGUGAGAUGGAGUCAGAAGAGGAGGUAUUGCCAUCAGAGAGUCAGCAAAAUUGGUUGACCAAGCCCAAAGGAGGGUGCUGAGGGGAGUUGAUGACCUGGACUUUUUCAUAGGGGAUGAAGCCAUAGAUAAACCCACGUAUGCCACAAAGUGGCCAAUAAGACAUGGAAUAAUUGAAGACUGAGAUCUAAUGGAGAGGUUCAUGGAACAAGUUAUUUUUAAUUUUCCCUGAGCUGAAGCUGAGGGCCAUCACUUUUUGAUGAAACCUUCCUAGCAGAUUUGCCCUGUCUGUCCGUGCCCAGUGUGGGCCCUAGAGGGGAACAAAAUUACUUUGGUACAUUUUGAUGAGUCAAGAUUCUCUCCUGUUGCUGGUGAGGGGACCACAUCUCAUCACCUGGCCCCAAGAGACAGAACCUCCUCUGAAUACACCAGAAAAUAAAGAAUAUCUUGCAGAAAUUAUGUUCAAAUUAUUUAAUGUACCGGGACUCUACAUUGCAGUUCAGGACGUUGCAGAGAUGAUGUACUAAUAUGCUGGUGCUUUAAUACCUCAAAGUUCAGAAAUCACUGCAGGGGGAGGCUGAUGUGUCUACAGUCAGGAGGAAAAAUCCAAAUCUUUCCCCUCUGUCAUUGCACCCUGCCAGUGUCCCCUUUGCCCGGGGGUGAGGAGAGGCAGGAGGCCUGCAGAGCAUGCUCUGUGCUCGCAGCCCCUUCAUCCAGUCUCGGAACACUGCCCCCUCCUGGGUGUGAGGUGUUUAGGUGCCACUUGCUGUGUGGCCCUGCCUGGCUCCUCUCUGAGGUCACGUCCUCAGAGGUCAGUGCAGGCCAAGGUCAGGGCCUGUGCCUGUGGGUCUGCUUCCUGGCCUCCCCUGUGCAUCUGAAACAAGUUUCACACUACGUGCAGGCCCACAGAGAAAGUUGUUGUUCAAAUUUUUCUCUGUUUCUUAAUGCAGUUUUUUCCCCCUAUUUAUAAAAAUUACAUUUACUGUACAAAAUUUAGGUAAAAUGGAGAAAUGUAAAGAAGAAAAUAGAAUGACCCUCAAACCUGCCCAGAGGACUGUGCCACACUUUUUUGGUAUAGUCUACUGAGCUCUUUUUCUUAGACAAACAACACACAUUUUAAGCACAGUUGGGAUACCCUCCAUCUGAUUUCAUGUUCUAAUUGUACAAUGUGCUCCUGAGGUUGUAUUUUGCAUAUUGACUUAUCCCUGAUGUAUCUUUAUGGUUAAAUACUCUGUGGAAAGAUAUUUAGUAACUACCUGACAGCCCAUCAUGUGGGUGUAGCACAACUCACUUACUUGUUUUCCUACCAUUGGCUGUGGUUUGUUUUAAUAUAUUUAAUUUGUGAUGAAGCUGAUACUCAAAAUGGGUUGAAUUAAUUUUAGAAAAUGUUAUAUGUAAUAUAUUGAGUAUAGAAAUUGUGAAUAGUUUCUGUUUGUGAGAGCUACUGUUCUUAUGAUUUUUUUAUUUUAAUAAUGUGUACAUAUCUUUUAUCUUGAUCUUAAAUAUUUUACAAUUGGCUUGGGCUCCUGAGAAAGGCUACACACUCUCUCACUUCUAGAAGUUGGGCACCUCAGAAGACAUAAGAGGAAUUCAGUCACCUGUUCUUGCAACUUCAGUGGUAACUGUGCUUAUAGAUAGUGGAACUGAUCCAUCUGUCAGAUGGAUGAGGAUUUGCUCCAGCCUUCUGUCUCCAUGAGUGUGUGACAAGCAGCCAGUGCCAUCAGGGAGCUCAGAGUGCCUCCUCUACCUGGUGCAGGUGGAAGGUUAGGUAAUUGGAAGCUGCAUCAAACACAUCCCUAUUGCAGGUAGAGAUAUGUAUUUCAUUCAACAGCUGCCAAGUGAGAGGGAGGUGGGAUUCCCUCCUGAGCAACCACUGGAGACCACAAAGGCCAUUAAGGAGAAGUACUGUCACAUUUGCCCCAAUAUAGUCAAGAAGUUUGCCAAGUAUGACGUGGAUCAGCAGAAGUGGAUCAAACAGCAAACAGGGAACAAUGCCAUAAGCCAGAAGAAAUUCAUUAUCGAUGUUGGCUAGGAAAGUUUCCCAGGCCCUGAAAUUUUCUUUCACCCAGAGAUACUGAUUAACAUGCCAAGUAUAAUGCCUGGCCCAGGAAGCUCAGGAGAUGAAUCAAAUAACUUGACCAUGAAGGAGCACUGAGGAGGAGGCAGAGAUGAUCUCUGGCAUGGGUAUUAUUAUAGGCAUACUACAAGGCUCAGAGGCAGUGCAGAGGAAGAAAUGAGGAGCUCUUGGAAGUGGUGGGCAGAGGGCAAGUGUUUGGAAUGUUCUUUAAGAAUAGGUACACUUGAACUGACUCUUAAAAGAUGAGCAGGUGUUUGACAAGGCAAUGUGAACACCACAGAUAGAGGGGAGUGAAGCCACCUGGAAUCCUUCCUCUCUGCACUGCAAACAGUUUGGGAUGGUUGGUGCAUAUGGCACGUGACUGUGCACAUUCUGUCCAUGUUGUGUGCACUGAUGAUUUAGAAAUGACAGAAGGGCAAGUGGUGAAGCUGGAGAGAUGCAGAAGCACACAGAGGAAGACUGCCUUACAUGGUUCUUCAAGGUAUUUGGACAUGAUCCUGUGGCAAAGCAAGUCAUUACAUGAUUAUUAAACUAAGCAGUAUUGGUGUGGAAUUUGCCUUCCACAACAAUUAUUUUCCUGCAGUGUGGAUGACAAAUUUGGGAGGUGGAAGAGGGGAAAGAAUACAAACUGAACUGCUGGUUGGAAGACAAUUAUCAGUGGUCCUGGAAAGACUCAAGGCAAUCAAGAAGCUGUGAAGGAAGGGUGCUGAAGGGAGAGACCUUAAGGAUAUGGCCUCUGGACAAACUGAUUACUAUUGUUUAAGGAGUAG